AGCUGUGUACCUUGAAAGACACCAACCUCUUUCUGGGUGUGAAAGAAAGAGGCAUUACAAAGCUAGCAGAGUAACGCGGCAGAGAAGUCGACCUCUUAUCCGAGCUUUGAAUGGGUGGAAGGCAAGUCUGAAUAGAAUUGCAGGAUGAAGCAAAGGAGGCAGGGAAAGAAGUGGAUGGGAAACAUAAAGAAUGCGAGGAAAAUCUAAAAACAUCAGCCAUUUAGAGACAAAAACGCAGAAAUUCUACUUCCAAACACAAUCUGUGUCCCCCCAAGAAGAAGAUGAUGAGAAGAUGAUGAGGUAAACAGCAUGGGGGGAGAAACGAAAAGGGCAAUCGAGAGAGAAGUAGAAGGAGAAGGGUUGUUUAUAAUUGUGGCUAUAAUUGUGCGCGUGAAUUGGAGAGAUGCUUUUACGCUUUACACGAUUGUAAGGGUGACUGCAACAAUUGGUAAUCAAUCCGCCAUUUUAACCCAAUCACAGUGCUCUACGGUUUUGCUCUUCCUUGCCAAUCAUCUCUCGUCUUGUCGGUGAUGAGAUUUUUCUGCUUUGACCUAACCAACACG